GUCGCUGAUCAAUCUCUCCAGCAAGCACCCCAUGCGAAGAGUUUCACGAAGUCAUUAUGUAAAGCUCUUCACCCCAGCCGAUUAGUCUACAAGAUAAAAUUGUAACAGAACUGUUACCAUAGAAUAGAGCUUGAGGUGGCCCUGCACGAAAGGGUUGAUGGGCCGCAUCCGAGAUGAUCCGAAACCCCCCGAUAGGUCCCGAAGUUAUGGGCGACGGAACUUACCGUCGUCAGUGUUGUUGGCUCGUUCGCUCAGCCGAAAACCAAUCCUAGGUAUAAGCGAGUGCUCUCGAUCCCGCUCUGGACUGCCUCCGUCGCUUCGAUAUUCGAUCCCAGCUUCCACUAUUCUGACCGGAAAUACCAGGUUCCGAUCUACCCACCGGUUACAAUAAUGUAAGUGGGAAUAAAGAUCGCAUUUUAACCCUUAAAGGAA